AUUGAACGCUGGCGGCAGGCCUAACACAUGCAAGUCGAGCGGAUGAAGGGAGCUUGCUCCUGGAUUCAGCGGCGGACGGGUGAGUAAUGCCUAGGAAUCUGCCUGGUAGUGGGGGAUAACGUCCGGAAACGGGCGCUAAUACCGCAUACGCCCUGAGGGAGAAAGUGGGGGAUCUUCGGACCUCACGCUAUCAGAUGAGCCUAGGUCGGAUUAGCUAGUUGGUGGGGUAAAGGCCUACCAAGGCGACGAUCCGUAACUGGUCUGAGAGGAUGAUCAGUCACACUGGAACUGAGACACGGUCCAGACUCCUACGGGAGGCAGCAGUGGGGAAUAUUGGACAAUGGGCGAAAGCCUGAUCCAGCCAUGCCGCGUGUGUGAAGAAGGUCUUCGGAUUGUAAAGCACUUUAAGUUGGGAGGAAGGGCAGUAAGUUAAUACCUUGCUGUUUUGACGUUACCAACAGAAUAAGCACCGGCUAACUUCG
rnacentral:rRNA from 1 species